GACGUAGGAGGCGAGCGUUGUCCGGAUUCAUUGGGCGUAAAGAGCGUGUAGGCGGUUCGGUAAGUCUGUCGUGAAAUCCUGAGGCUCAACCUCGGGCGUGCGAUGGAUACUGCCGGGCUAGAGGAUGGUAGAGGCGAGUGGAAUUCCCGGUGUAGCGGUGAAAUGCGCAGAGAUCGGGAGGAACAUCAGUUGCGAAGGCGGCUCUCUGGACCAGCACUGACACUGAGGCACGAAAGCGUGGGGAGCAAACAGG
rnacentral:rRNA from 1 species